rnacentral:rRNA from 1 species
CUCUUUCCGGAAUUGAGUGGCAAACGGGUGAGUAACACGUAAACAACCUGCCUUCAGGAUGGGGACAACAGACGGAAACGACUGCUAAUACCGCAUAAGAUUACAGUACCGCAUGAUACAGUGAUCAAAGGAGCAAUCCGCUGAAAGAUGGGCUCGCGUCCGAUUAGAUAGUUGGUGGGGUAAAGGCCUACCAAGGCGAUGAUCAGUAGCUGGUCUGAGAGGACGUUCAGCCACACUGGGACUGAGACACGGCCCAGACUCC